AUUGAACGCUAGCGGGAUGCUUUACACAUGCAAGUCGAACGAGAGGCGGACGGGUGAGUAAUAUAUCGGAACGUGCCCAGUAGCGGGGGAUAACUCCCCGAAAGAGUUGCUAAUACCGCCUAAUAUGGGCGCGGCCGAUAUCGGCUUAGCUAGUUGGUGGGGUAAAGGCUCACCAAGGCAACGAUCCGUAGCUGGUUUGAGAGGACGACCAGCCACACUGGGACUGAGACACGGCCCAGACGCCUACGGUAGGCAGCAGGGGGGAAUUUUGGACAAUGGGGGAAACCCUGAUCCAGCCAUCCCGCGUGUAUGAGAAGGCCUUCGGGUUGUAAAGUACUUUUGGCAGAGAAGCGGUAUCUGCAGAAUAAGCACCGGCUAACUACGUGCCAGCAGCCGCGGUAAUAC
rnacentral:rRNA from 1 species